UACGAAGGGGGCUAGCGUUGCUCGGAAUCACUGGGCGUAAAGCGCACGUAGGCGGCGUCUUAAGUCAGUGGUGAAAUCCUGGAGCUCAACUCCAGAACUGCCUCUGAUACUGAGAUGCUUGAGUCCGGGAGAGGUGAGUGGAACUGCGAGUGUAGAGGUGAAAUUCGUAGAUAUUCGCAAGAACACCAGUGGCGAAGGCGGCUCACUGGCCCGGUACUGACGCUGAGGUGCGAAAGCGUGGGGAGCGAACAGG
rnacentral:rRNA from 1 species